rnacentral:sRNA from 1 species
UUUACUUUUUAAAUGUUUCUAUCACUAUGUUUCUAUCAUUCUUAAGAUGUACAACAAUAGUAUUUAGAAAAUAAAUAUAUCCAUUACUACAUGCCUGACAGCAUCCAGCACCACGUAGCAUUCUAAGUAGAAGUCUCAGAAGAGAACUGCAAUGGAAAGUGUAUGAGCUGUGUGGUUUGCAGCAUCAGCACCAAACCCAUCCAUCGUCCUGGAACAUGAGGAACAGUCCCUGGACUGACAAAUGAGUAGGCUGGCAAAGCAGAGUGAUCUCAUGUGACCACGACGAGCCUGUGAAGUAGGUCUUAACUAUCUUUGUUUUGUAGCAAGGAAACAGGCACACAGAGUUCAACAGUCAAGGUCACAAGCUAAGCAGCCAAGGUCACAGAGCUAAUCAAUACUGGGGGCAUUGAAUGAGAUCUUCUGGUUCUUCCCCCAGCCUGAUGCCCAUUCACGGAAGCUUCAUUUUCCGCAACCUUAACUUAACAGGACCCACUAUAUUCCUCCUGUAAAGGAGAAACCGUAAUUUAUAUGUCAUAAGUUAAAACAAAUGGCUGGAGAGAUUUUCCCUACAAUUGGAUUGCUCGUUUAUAAAUGCACAAAAUCUUAUAAUUCAACCGAUUUUGAAGAAGGAGAGAGGAGACACCAAUUGCUGGUAGUGGCCAGAGCAGAAAAUGAAAAAUGUCAAGGCCUGACUGAAUGUCUAUUCAUCUUCCCCUCUUUGUCCUGUGGGUGGUCAGCUGCUUCCUAUUUAACUAACAUUUACCUCACGACAACACACUUGCUUUUACACUGAGAGCUAUCACUAUAAAUCUGCUCGAUUGAUCUGUUAAACUAACAAAAUAGAAAUGGACUGCAAGUAGGAAAAUGAGCCCAAGCCCAACAGACUUUGAAAAUAGUAGAGGAGGGGGAUAAGACUCUGUGGCUGUGGAGCCCCACCCAUCCUCCUGGGUAACAGCAGAGCCCACAUCGGGGAACGGUUAUUUCAGACCAUGGCCCACAAGGCGCAGGUGAUAGAUACCUACUGCUGGCUGUUCCCUCCGGGCCCCACAUUCCUCCACCAACCUCGUGAUUCGCACAGGUUCCCGUUCUAAACCCAGGCUGGGCUCUGCACACAUAAUGUGCUCUCUCUCCUGAUCUUUGCUUUUCAGGGGAAGGCAAACAGAAACUGAAAGAUCAGGUCCUGGCUAAGAAAAAGAAGAUUUUCUUUCACUCUGGGCCAAAGGGGAGCACUGCUGAAACAUAAAAAUAAAAAUGAAAAAUGAAAAAUAAAGACAGCACCUUCACCGUCAGGGCCCUUUCAAACAGUAAAAUCUGUCUCUUUAUCCCAGCUCCUGCAGACACCAUCCAGGAGAAUCUGGGCAGAGCAGCACACCGACUCUGUUUGUUUGACUAGGUCUCUGACGGGUGAAGGUGUCACAUGACAGCCGUAUGGACAUCAGUCUCAGCAGCCUGGAAGACAUUUCCCCGACACUUUCAGAGGCCUGACUGAAUCACCAGUUCAAUGUUUUGUUUUGUUUUGUUUUGUUUUAAUCCAACCUGCUCUGAGUCAGGGGUCUUUUUCUUCAAAUUAACUUACUGACAGCACUGAAACCCUGACGGAAGGUUGAAUUUUUUUAAGGUAAAAAGUGAAUCGGAGGACAGUUUGAUAAGAAGGCCCAGAAGCUAUAAAUAUGUGCGUGAGAUCUGGGAGGACGUGGUCAUGCCCUUCCCAGCAAGCACACAGCGGAUUCACGGUGCUGUUUACUGAAGUGCUCUAAAUUUAGAAGAAGCAAGUCGAAUGGAGCCCUGCUCUGUGAGUCAGCCAAGAGCUAUCUGAUCCUCCCUUGCAGGGCCCGGUAGAGAAGAGAACUCUGAGGCCCCCAUGGGGGAAUCACCUCCAGGGGUUAUUCCUGUGACCAAACAUAGCCUUGCUGGUCAGAAAGUUUGCACGGCAGGGGGCUGCUCCUCUGUAUUAGGUCCUUCUAGCAGAGCAGACUCACCCACAGGCUGGAAGAGACAAAGGGUGAUGCUCUUGGGCAGUUCUGGCUGGCUUCCCGGUGCUUCAAACUUAUGGUACAACUGGUUGAAUCUUCUCUAGAGGUGAAGACCAUGAAUGAAUCUUCCAGGCUGGAUGCACAAGGCAUGGGUGACAGCCUGGAAUCCUGAAUCUUGAUCUGGUUUUUAAAACGCUGCAAAGGCCGAUGUGCUUAGAUUUUUAUGUAUAUGAAGUCUUUACAAUUGCAGAAUUGGUAUUUCUUCACCUGUGCUUCAAAAAUAACUUUUUUUAAUUUAAAAACUGCGUGACUCAGCACCUGAUAUUGCCACAUGGUUAAACUAAAUCCGUUUAAGACAAAAAGAUUUUGACGAGAGAUCUACGUGUCACUAAUACAGGCAGGCUUCUGGCUGCUGUGCCUGUGGUAGAUGGAUCGAGCUAAGUGAUCGUGGGGUUACUCUCCUGGCACAUCAUUUCUACUCUCCGACAAAAUCCACCCGUCUAAGUUCCUCUCCCUGAAGGCUACAAAACCAGAAAGGCUUGGCUGAAUCUGUUUCGAAACACAAAUCCAGGAUUAGAGAAGAACUCUACUGUUUGGAAUAGUGGUGGACUCGAUUCUUUGGAAUAUCUUGGUGAGUGAAAUGAAGUCACCAGCAAUAUUUUCUCCACACUGGUCACCGUGGGAACCGAAAGCAGUGAAGCCCAGUGGACUGACAACUGAGACGAUGCAGAUGCCACAGUAUGGGGGUCUAGGGGGCCAUCCUAAGAUGGGUAACACUUUGCUCAGAAGCUGGGACACCUACUGCUUCCUGCCCAGAUACAUCCCUAAGUAAGGUGCUCAUUUCAACCCCUGUACACAAUUUAAAUUCUAUACCAUAAUAUAAGGAACGAGAAGCAUGAUUACUGCCUUUUAGAGGCCCCUCUAAAUACCACAGCAGAACCAGCCAGAUAGACAAAUCAUUUCACAAAAGAAACGCAGUAAAUGACAAAUAGGAAAUCAAAAGGGCCCAGGGUCUGACUGGGACAGAGAACACUACCACCAGCCUUUGUGGAUGUGAUUAUGGGUUCUGAUUCCCAUUGUCUAAUCAAGGCUGAAGUGGCCCCUUGGAAGCAGUGCCCAAGCGACACAGCUGAUUUCAAAUGGACUUGUUCCCAACAUGGACUUGGUACAAGUCGUGAGAUCUAAAGUCAGAGUUUGAAACAUAAACCUGUCUCUCUAAAGCCAAGCUUCUCGUUGAACCUAAGGGUUUUCCAUGGGUACCAAGUAAAGCACGGGGCUGGGGACAACCAAAUGUUGGUUGCAAAUAUGGUUAUUUUGCAAAUAUGUUAUUUUCUGAGUGUCGAUGUAUAUUCAUAUACACUGUUUGACAUUCAUUCUAUGCAGGGUUGCAUGGCCAUUAUCCUGAAAUGGGUCUUACAGGUGAUUCAAAUGGUUUUCAAGGAGGAUUUUGGCUCCCCUUACUUUUUGUGUUAAGAUACAUUUCAGUGUCCAGACCAGUGUCCAGCAUGGGACAUACUGAGAAAACAAGAACAUAGAUGUUGUCCAGCACCCAAGUACUGAUCCAGACCUGCUUGUUAAUACAGUGGUAUCUCUUCUGGGAUAAAGACAAGAGAUAAGUGUGUGUAGCCCCGAGCGUGUGAGCUUAGCAACUCAGAACUAGGAGAACGUAUUUCCAAGUUUGUAUUCACAUGGGAAAAUUUAUACGUAUUAGCUUGGAUGCGGAUGGCUUUCCUGUCUGUGUUUCUCUAUGUAGCCAGAAAAACCUUCUGGACUUGUUUCUAUUCCAAGAGGCUGCAUGAAUGGUAAAACAUACAGAUGCCAACUUGAGUCAUAUAGAAGGGAACACGUGUUUUCGGGACAUACUAAAAUAGCACAGUAAAAUCGGGCAGGUGUUUGAUCAGGGAAUACGAAACCGUCUUCUCCAAAGACUCUGGAGGUUUUUUUUACUUGAAUGUUUUCAGCAAAAUAAACGGUUACUAGGAAAACAUGCUGUAAACGUAAGAAGGGUCUGCUGGCUUGAAAUGUGGCUGGCUGAUUUCUCCUUCCUUUGUAAUCCCAUUAAGCUCGGUAGCAAAACUCAGCCCUCCUGGCAGCUCUUCUCACCCGCAGCUGCCGGCAGAAAGUGCUCAGUGCCCAGAGUAAAGUCUUCAUUGGUUAAUGACCCUUGACCUUUCAUAGGUGGUGUCUUCCGUGGCAACACUUAGCUUGGAGGCUCCUACAUGAUAUACAGACUGACCAAGAGACAGCAUGGAAUUUCGUUGGAGUCCAAGGCUGGCGUGAUAAAAGGGAAUUACACACCCAAAGAUGUCUAUUCUGGAUUGACUCAACUGUUGAGUUAAUUUUUUUUUUAUUUAGGAUAUAGUGAUUUCUAAUUUGUACUGAUAACAAUCUAUUAGAGUUCUAACUGAUCUUGGUUGUCCAGACAGAAGGCAAGCAAAAUUUAAAAGAUGAUUUUUGCUACUUUUGGGUCUUGUUUCUAAGAACUUUGAAUGUGGCUUUUAAAACAUCAUUAAUACUGCGUACGGGCUGAAGCAUUUAAUGCCUCAUUUAUAGAUCAUUCUUUCUAUUCAGCUAGCAAAAAUCUCCCUGAAUUUUGGCAGUUUGUCUCCAUUAAUUUCAAAUAAACAUUUUAACCACGGACUCAAUAGCACUGAGUGUGUGCUCGGACCCCACUCUCCAGCCAUUUGCAGGUUAGAUUGUUCCUAAAAUGGGCCAGACCCUUCUCUGGGCGGAAGAGGGAGAAAUGUGAGUGAAAGUGGUGGUGGGGGGAUACUAAUGAAGAAAGAAUGAAAAGUUUUACGUUUAUGAAGCCUUUUAUUGUCCGAAAUGUUGGGGGGGGGGAAACAAGUCAAACAUGAUCCUCCUCCUUGCUCUCACUCUUUAUUUCCCCACCAGGCCCCAGUCUCCCC